rnacentral:rRNA from 1 species
AUUGAACGCUGGCGGCAGGCCUAACACAUGCAAGUCGAGCGGGGUUUUCGGACCUAGCGGCGGACGGGUGAGUAAUGCGUAGGAAGCUACCCGAUAGAGGGGGAUACCAGUUGGAAACGACUGGUAAUACCGCAUAAUGUCUACGGACCAAAGUGUGGGACCUUCGGGCCACAUGCUAUCGGAUGUGCCGACGUGGGAUUAGCUAGUUGGUGAGGUAAUGGCUCAACAAGGCGACGAUCCCUAGCUGGUUUGAGAGGAUGAUCAGCCACACUGGAACUGAGACACGGUCCAGACUCCUACGGGAGGCAGCAGUGGGAAAUAUUGCACAAUGGGCGCAAGCCUGAUCCAGCCAUGCCGCGUGUGUGAAGAAGGCCUUCGGGUUGUAAAGCACUUUCAGUAAGGAGGAAGCGUUGAGUGUUAAUAGUACUCAGCGUUGACGUUACUUACAGAAGAAGCACCGGCUAACUCUGUGCCAGCAGCCGCCGUAAAAC